rnacentral:rRNA from 1 species
AUUGAACGCUGGCGGCAUGCCUUACACAUGCAAGUCGAACGGCAGCGGGGGAGAAGCUUGCUUUUCCUGCCGGCGAGUGGCGAACGUUUGAGUAAUACAUCGGCACGUGCUCUGUAGUGGGGGCUAACUAGCCGAAAGAUUAGCUCAUACCGCAUCCGACCUCAGGGUGAAAGUGGGGGACCGCAAGGCCUCAUGCCAUAGGCGCGGCCGAUGUCCGAAGAGCUAGUUGGUGGGGUAAAGGCCUACCAAGGCGACGAUCAGUAACUGGGCUGGGAGGACGAUCAGCCACACUGGGACAGAGACACGGCCCAGAGUCCUACGGGAUGCAGCAGUGGGGAAUUUUGGACAAUGGGCGAAAGCCUGAUCCAGCAAUUCCGCGUGUGUGAAGAAGGCCAUCGUGUUGUAAAGCACUUUUGUCCGGAAAGAAAUGGCUCUGGUUAAUACCUGGGGUCGAUGACGGUACCGGAAGAAUAAGGACAGGCUAACUACGUGCCAGCAGCCGCAGUAAGAC